rnacentral:tRNA from 1 species
GAGAGAUGGCUCAGUAGUUAAGAGCACUGGUUGCAAUUCCAGAAGGCCUGGGUUCAAUUCCUGGCACUCA